rnacentral:rRNA from 1 species
GGAAUGGGCGCAGCCUGAUCUAGCCAUGCCGCGUGAGUGAUGAAGGCCUUAGGGUCGUAAAGCUCUUUCGCCUGGGAUGAUAAUGACAGUACCUGGUAAAGAAACCCCGGCUAACUCCGUGCCAGCAGCCGCGGUAAUACGGAGGGGGUUAGCGUUGUUCGGAAUUACUGGGCGUAAAGCGCGCGUAGGCGGAUUAGACAGUUGGGGGUGAAAUCCCGGGGCUCAACCCUGGAACUGCCUUUAAAACUGCUAGUCUUGAGUUCGAGAGAGGUGAGUGGAAUUCCGAGUGUAGAGGUGAAAUUCGUAGAUAUUCGGAGGAACACCAGUGGCGAAGGCGGCUCACUGGCUCGAUACUGACGCUGAGGUGCGAAAGUGUGGGGAGCAAACAGGAUUAGAUACCCUGGUAGUCCACACCGUAAACGAUGAAUGCCAGUCGUCGGGUAGUAUACUAUUCGGUGACACACCUAACGGAUUAAGCAUUCCGCCUGGGGAGUACGGUCGCAAGAUUAAAACUCAAAGGAAAUUGACGGA